rnacentral:lncRNA from 1 species
UUUGUUUUAAAAAAUAACUGAACAAACUCUUUGAAUAAUUAUAAAAAAUAUAUAUAAAUACAAUACAUAAUCCAAAUCAAACAAAAAUAUUUUCAAAUCCACCAAAUAAUACUAAAUUUCAAAUAAAAUCCAAACAUAAAUAUUUUCAAACACGACACAAAAACUAUUCCAAUUUGUUCUUUCUAAAAUUAACUGAACCCUAUCCUUCCGUUUUGAUGCCUUUCCUAUUAUGUAUUUCUUCAUGUGUGAGAUUAUUUGCAUAUGAUCAACAUCAAUCUUUGAAGCAAUACUAUAGCCUUCUGCAACACGAAUUGGAUGAAUGUUAGGUUCCAACCAUACUGAACAACUACAAUUGAUAUAGCCAUAUCCAUGUUACAUCAUAUAGAACAAGAGACCAAUCAAUCAAACCCUAAUAAACAAUUACAGGUAAAAGAAAUCAUGAAAAAAUAAAGAAAUCACUCCAUCUUCUUCUCCCCUGUAACUCUAACCUAUGUAAAUAUUACAUCAGAUAUAAAGAAAAUAAACUAACAAUUUCAGCAAACAAACAAUUUUAGCAUCUAAACAACCAAUUGUAUCAAAAAAAGGAAGAACAUAUCACAUACCUGAAAGGCGCAUGAACUUUGAUUUGUGAGGAUGCAACUGGACUUUUCACAAACAGUUGGCGGGUAUAAGAGUUGUAAUGAGUGAAGUCCUAGGAAAUUGACUGCGUAAUUACAAAAGUGACUGAAUGGAACUUUGGAUUAUAUAGUCUAGAAUAAGAAAUGCAAAUAAAACGAGGGGGGGAUGAAAAAUCACACAGAGGUGGUGGAGGAGUUCAUUACCACAGUCGACGAAUUUGAGGAAGAUGGAGGGGUUCAUUACCGGUGGAAAUGGCGGCGCAAGUAGAGGCGGUGGUCAGAUGAUGGAGUCGAUUUCAGGGAGGUCGACGACGGGAGGAGGUCGGAGGAGGUGUUCGACGCUCUACAGGGUCGGAUGUGGGAGGAGACGGAAGAGAAGAUAUGAACUUAGUGUAACCUGUCCUUAAUAGCUUUCAUCCCAAAAGUCCUAGACCCGAAGUUUGUGAAAAAUUACCAGCCGACAAGCGUUAUUGGUUACCUAAACAAAAGAUUACUGUCAAAUUUUAAAGGAACCUAAAACCUUUGAUUGUUAAUAAGAUUAGUGUUUGGCGUAGGGAUAAUAGAAAAAAAGUCAUAUAAUUCAAAGUAGAUUAUGAGAAUGCGUGUGACUCUCUUUUUUGGGAUUACAUAAGUCUUGUAUUACAUAUAUAUAAUGUUGAACGAUUGUCCAACUUUCAAAAUCCAAAUAAAAAGGGG